AGAGCGCCACGUCGGCGGCGGCUCUCGUUGUCGCCAACCGUUACCCGACGAAGGCGCCUUCGUAGAUCCACCGCUACAUCAUGUCGUCAUAAAUUGACAUCAUGAAAGAACCUUCGAAUUCCUAUAACAAAAAAAAAUAUAUAAUAAUAAUAAAAGAAAACAUGGGAGACUUUUUUGACGUUUUAGUUAGUCGAUCAUUCGAGAUGAAUAAAUGAAGUGAAUCUAAAGUCCAAAAGAGAAAAAUCAUACAUGGAAAACAUGUUCUAUAUUACCUAAAUCAAAUCCAUUUCUGAAGGUCAAAAGAUUGAGUGAUCGAGAGUUAAUGAUAACAUGAAUAUUGAUGGAGCACCGACUAGUUUUAGCGUCGGAGUAUCCACCCACCUAUUGUUAAAACCAUAUUAGAAACUUGUUAGGCAAAAGUAUGAUUUUGACAAAUAUGAACCUUAUGACCUUUGUGUGAACACAUUUUGGGCCCAAUAAAAUUCAAAGACACAGUAGUAGGGAACACAUUCCACACCAAAACAAUGUGCAUAAUAAUUUAAAUGGAAGAUUCGAUUCAAUUCAAUUAUUUGAAGUCAAGUCCACAGUAAAUGGUUAGCUGUCCGGUGGCGGUGCCUUGUCGAAUGCUCCUCCUGUGAUGCCUAAUUUUUCUCACAAGCUUACGAUCGCAACAUUGAUCCUAUUAUGUCAGCGUGUGGCCCAAACACCUAACUUUGCCAUCUCCUUCUCUGCAUAGCCCCUUGUUUAUGUUGGUCUACAACAAGACAAUUCAGCACGUAGGACUCCGAUAGCUGAUUACGAGAAUCUGCAUUUACUGUAUUUUAUCAUCUCGUCACAUUAGAAUCUUUUAUACAAUUAUUUUCCUGCAUCAUGCAAUCUCAACCUACUGAGUUAAAUAUAGAACAAAAAUAAAAUGCUGAGAUAACGCUACUCAGCUCGAAACAGACAUUUAUGCUAGAGUAAUUAUUUGUAUUGUACAUGACCGACCACUCUCUUCCAACCACCCUAAUCGGUGCUCUUCCAAAUGAUCCGAGGAAAACAUAAGUAAUGCUGCUGAAAAAGCGACUGAGAUAGAGAGGGAGAGAGGAAAGACGUACUUUUUAAGAUUUUGGCGUCAUCGACUGAGACGUCAAAAGUCUUCGCAAGCAAUUGCCUAUCAUCUUCACCGCAUUAAAUUGACG
rnacentral:lncRNA from 1 species